UACGAAGGGUGCAAGCGUUGCUCGGAAUUAUUGGGCGUAAAGCGCACGUAGGCGGCUUAGCAAGUUGGAUGUGAAAGCCCUCGGCUUAACCAAGGAAGUGCAUCCAAAACUGCUGAGCUUGAGUAGUUAAGAGGAUCGCGGAAUUCCCGGUGUAGAGGUGAAAUUCGUAGAUAUCGGGAGGAACACCAGUGGCGAAGGCGGCUCUCUGGGACGGUACUGACGCUGAGACGCGAAAGCGUGGGGAGCGAACAGG
rnacentral:rRNA from 1 species